rnacentral:lncRNA from 1 species
AUCUUCUUGUUCUCGCCGGUGUUCUGAUUUUUGACUCCGGCGUCGCAUCUGUCCCUCAGAUGGUCGUCCGGCCUCUGCCUCCGGUGCUCUCCCUUUUUGUUGGUGAUGAGUAUCCAGCUUCCGAUUCCGCAUCACAUCUUCCAAUCGUGAGUGCUCGAGUUGUGUGAUGUUCCAUUGUAGUGUAUGGUGGCUUGAGUUUGGAUGAUUGAUUGACGUUCUUCUAAGCUCAGGUGAUUAAGUGGUGGAUCAUGAAUUUUCUAUAUCUCCAAUACAGUCGUUGGAGGUGGUUUUUAGUGGUCGUGGUUAAUUCUUGGUGUUUUCCGGUGGUCAAGUGAUUUGGUUGGUCCGGUGAUGAUUUUAUAUCAUUAAUUUCUGGUGAAGGCUCGUGAUUCCGGUGGAAGUCUCGGC